rnacentral:rRNA from 1 species
GCAAACAGGAUUAGAUACCCUGGUAGUCCACGCCGUAAACGAUGAGUGCUAAGUGUUGGAGGGUUUCCGCCCUUCAGUGCUGCAGCAAACGCAUUAAGCACUCCGCCUGGGGAGUACGACCGCAAGGUUGAAACUCAAAGGAAUUGACGGGGGCCCGCACAAGCGGUGGAGCAUGUGGUUUAAUUCGAAGCAACGCGAAGAACCUUACCAGGUCUUGACAUCCUUUGACCACUCUAGAGAUAGAGCUUUCCCUUCGGGGACAAAGUGACAGGUGGUGCAUGGUUGUCGUCAGCUCGUGUCGUGAGAUGUUGGGUUAAGUCCCGCAACGAGCGCAACCCUUAUUGUUAGUUGCCAUCAUUUAGUUGGGCACUCUAGCGAGACUGCCGGUGACAAACCGGAGGAAGGUGGGGAUGACGUCAAAUCAUCAUGCCCCUUAUGACCUGGGCUACACACGUGCUACAAUGGGAAGUACAACGAGUCGCUAGACCGCGAGGUCAUGCAAAUCUCUUAAAGCUUCUCUCAGUUCGGAUUGCAGGCUGCAACUCGCCUGCAUGAAGCCGGAAUCGCUAGUAAUCGCGGAUCAGCACGCCGCGGUGAAUACGUUCCCGGGCCUUGUACACACCGCCCGUCACACCACGAGAGUUUGUAACACCCGAAGUCGGUGAGGUAACCUUUUUGGAGCCAGCCGCCUAAGGUGGGAUAGAUGAUUGGGGUGAAGUCGUAACAAGGUAGCCGUAUCGGAAGGUGCGGCUGGAUCACCUCCUUUCUAAGGAA